rnacentral:rRNA from 1 species
AGAGUUUGAUCCUGGCUCAGAACGAACGCUGGCGGCAGGCCUAACACAUGCAAGUCGAACGCUUCAGCAAUGAAGAGUGGCAGACGGGUGAGUAACGCGUGGGAACCUUCCCAGUGGUACGGAAUAGCCCAGGGAAACUUGGGGUAAUACCGUAUAAGCCCUUAGGGGGAAAGAUUUAUCGCCAUUGGAUGGGCCCGCGUCGGAUUAGCUUGUUGGUGAGGUAAAAGCUCACCAAGGCGACGAUCCGUAGCUGGUCUGAGAGGAUGAUCAGCCACACUGGGACUGAGACACGGCCCAGACUCCUACGGGAGGCAGCAGUGGGGAAUAUUGGACAAUGGGCGCAAGCCUGAUCCAGCCAUGCCGCGUGAGUGACGAAGGCCUUAGGGUUGUAAAGCUCUUUUGGCGGGGACGAUAAUGACGGUACCCGCAGAAUAAGCUCCGGCUAACUUCGUGCCAGCAGCCGCGGUAAUACGAAGGGAGCUAGCGUUGUUCGGAAUUACUGGGCGUAAAGCGCACGUAGGCGGAUUUGUUAGUCAGGGGUGAAAUCCCGGGGCCCAACCUCGGAACUGCCUUUGAUACUGCAAGUCUGGAGUCCGGAAGAGGUGGGUGGAAUUCCUAGUGUAGAGGUGAAAUUCGUAGAUAUUAGGAAGAACACCGGUGGCGAAAGCGGGCCCAUGGUCCGGUACUGACGCUGAGGUG